GUGGGGAAUAUUGCACAAUGGGCGCAAGCCUGAUGCAGCCAUGCCGCGUGUAUGAAGAAGGCCUUCGGGUUGUAAAGUACUUUCAGCAGUGAGGAAGGUGGAGUCGUUAAUAGCGGCCUCAUUUGACGUUAGCUGCAGAAGAAGCACCGGCUAACUCCGUGCCAGCAGCCGCGGUAAUACGGAGGGUGCGAGCGUUAAUCGGAAUUACUGGGCGUAAAGCGCAUGCAGGUGGUUUGUUAAGUCAGAUGUGAAAGCCCGGGGCUCAACCUCGGAAUUGCAUUUGAAACUGGCAGACUAGAGUACUGUAGAGGGGGGUAGAAUUUCAGGUGUAGCGGUGAAAUGCGUAGAGAUCUGAAGGAAUACCGGUGGCGAAGGCGGCCCCCUGGACAGAUACUGACACUCAGAUGCGAAAGCGUGGGGAGUAAACAGGAUUAGAUACCCUGGUAGUCCACGCCGUAAACGAUGUCUACUUGGAGGUUGUGGCCUUGAGCCGUGGCUUUCGGAGCU
rnacentral:rRNA from 1 species